GGGAAAAAAGUUGAAGGAGGGUGUAAAGUACAACAUUGAGGCCACCAAAACUAAUGGCGAACCAAUAGCGGCUAAGAACAUGCCGAACAAGUUCGUUCGUCAGUGCGGAGUUCUGGUGAAGGACAAACUCUUGAUCUGCUGUCAGGACCCCGACUCAAUGCCACAUCGAUCUAGCAUGUAACACCUCAUAUCACUUUGCGGCCUCACGCACGGUAUUCCCACGGGUGUCGCCUUACCUUUGCCCGGGUCCGUUUGCGCCUUUUGGCACACGUAUAUGAUAGUGUCGCUAGCAUCCAUAUGAUAAGGACCCCGGCUGACAUGACUAGUCGUAAACCCAAAGUGGCACAGACUUACAGGGACAGGCAUCCAUGACCCAGCAUCGAACGUGUCGGUCAUCAGCAAGUGGGUCCGGGCUGUAGCACUGGGCUAGCAGGAUUCCGGUAAACCGGGCUGUAGCGGGCUAACAGGGCUCCGGUACUCAAUGCGUGACAUUUCCCCGAAGGGACAGACACAGGAACGAAGAAGGACACAUGCCAGCCAGCCUAAGUGUUCCGGAGCAGUAGCAAACUACCAUGGCUCAGUGGAAACACUAGGAGACAUUUCCCGGUAAGAGAGGCUACUAAAGAUAAACAACUAGAUAGUCAGAUCCCACACAUACCAAGCAUUUCAAUAACAUACACACAAUAUGCUCGAUAUGUGCAAAUACAGCAUGGCAUCACAACAUGACUCUACAACUCAAGUAUUUAUUCAUUAGGCUCCGAGGAGCGAGAUAUUACAAACAGGGGUCUCAUGACCCAACAUUCAGAGCAUACAAAUCAAAGCACAUGCGGAAGCUAUGAUGUCUGAGUACAGACAUCUAUAAAUGAAAAGGCUGAGAAGCCUGACUAUCUACCAAAUCCUGCCGAGGGCACAAGAUCGUAGCUGAGGUAACAAGCUAAACGUUGAAGUCCACAUGGAACUACUAGUGAGACUGAAGUCUCUCUCUGCAAAAACAUAAAUUAAGCAACGUGAGUACAAAUGUACCCAGAAAGACUUACAUCAGAACUAACUACAUAUGCAUCAUUAUCAACAAAGGGGAUGGUGGGGUUUAACUGCAGCAAGCCAGCUUUGACUCGGUGGCUAACCUGAACUACGACUGCAAGUAACUCUUUUGAGGUGGCGCACACGAGUCCACAUAUUCACCAUAUCAAUACACCACUAUGGAUCCGCUCCCAUCUCCCUACGAGAACGCCAUCCAUAGCACUCACGCUUAUCUUGCAUAUUUUAGAGUAUCCACUUUCACUUGUCUAUGAACUGAUAUAAGCAACCCAGAAGUCCAUUACCGCGGACACGGCUAUUCGAAUAGAUCAUAUUAACCCUGCAGAGGUGUUCUUCUUCACACACGCCCUCGCCACUUAUCGCUCUGUACACGUCAUGUACCUCGGCAACCUUCAAGCGGAAGUCGGGCGAGGGAGUCGGCCACGACCUGAAUAACCAUACAAGUCUCUCGUCCAGGUUUAUCGCCUAUUCGGGUUCCAUCCGCAAGGAGAUCCGGCCGGGGUGUCGCUCACGGCCCCAAACGAUGUGAGCAGGGUUCCCAAGCCCACCAUCCGGGUGCCACUUGGUACACCGUGCCACUGUGCCUAGUCUGUCCCAAGCCCACCUGUAUCGGGUGCCACUUGGUAGACUACUAACACUACCUACAAACACCAGAAACUAGUUGCAACUCCUGGACAGAGAUCAUGUUGAUUAAUAAGUCGAGAGGGGUCGAGUUACCGGAACCCAAUGUGUGGUAGUAACUGGUCAUGGAUCACAAACACAGAACUCAGUUCCUGAAGACGGCUGCAAUGAGACAACCCACCAUGUACUCCUACAUGGCCUCUCACCGCUACCUUUACCAAAUCGUGUUCACACACUUAGCUCUCAACGGUAGGACAUGUUCACACACCUCUGAUUCAUCCCCGAUGAAUCAGACCUGACUCAACUCUAAGCAGUAGCAGACAUGACAAACAAGCAUGAAUGAGUAGGCACAACAGGGCUCAAACAACUCCUACUCAUGCUAGUGGGUUUCAUCUAUUUACUGUGGCAAUGACAGGUCAUGCAGAGGAUAAAGGGGUUCAACUACCGCAGCAUGUAACAGUUGAAUCGGUGUUGUCCUAAUGUAGUAAAAGAGAGCAGGAGCGAGAGAGUGGGAUUGUAUCGGAAUGAACAAGGGGGUUUUCCUUGCCUGGCACUUCUGAAGAUAACAUUGAGUCUUCAUCAGUGUCAACGAUCACAUCAUCGGUACAGCGUCUACCGAGGGGGAACAACACCGGCAAACACAGAAGAAACACGAUCAAUGCAAUGCACAAUAUGAUGCAUGCUAUGACAUGGCAAUAUGAAUGUGUUUUGGGCUAAUGCAUCUAGCAACAGGUUAAAUGGGGUUGGUUUGAACACUAGGUUCAAAUUCAAACUCCAUAUGUGAGAGUUUAAAUGCCAUUUAAUUGAUUUGUGCUAAACAGCAGCUAUAAGUUGCUCUAACAUGCAUGAAAAUGGUACAGAUGGAUAGAUUGUAUUUUUCCGAUCAUUUUUCAUAUAUAAUUUAUUUCAUUUGGCGUUACGGUUGAAUUUCUAUGAUUUAUUGAAGUUUUGAACAUUUUCUGAAAAUAAUAAAUCAUUUAAGAUUUAUUUUAAAUUCCAGAAAGGAAUUAUUGCGUCAGCAUGACCUCAUAGUGACGUCAGCAGGUCAACGGCGCCAUCCAGGUCAAACCUGACGUGUGGGGGCCACACGUCAGUGACACAUGGCUGUUUAGCUCACUGACAGGUGGGACCAGGUCAACGGCCACGUCAGCGUAGUCAACACUGACGCGUGGGCCCACCGGGGUUAGUUAAACUAAGCAGAAAAUGUAAUUUGUGUUAAUUAGGGCGUGGNNNNNNNNNNNNNNNNNNNNNNNNNNNNNNNNNNNNNNNNNNNNNNNNNNNNNNNNNNNNNNNNNNNNNNNNNNNNNNNNNNNNNNNNNNNNNNNNNNNNNNNNNNNNNNNNNNNNNNNNNNNNNNNNNNNNNNNNNNNNNNNNNNNNNNNNNNNNNNNNNNNNNNNNNNNNNNNNNNNNNNNNNNNNNNNNNNNNNNNNNNNNNNNNGGCGCCUGGAGGUAGCCCACGCUCCCGCGCAUCCAGCGGAGGCAGGGGCAGGUCACGGGGUGGUCGGAGCUCGCCGGAAGUGAGCUCGCGGCGGCGCCGGAGUUCGGGUGAGUGCGGGGUUGGUGCUGUGGUGCACGGGAGGGCGAGUUAGAAUAUGCGUUAGGCUCCUGGUGGCUUCCUGAGUGCGGUGACAUGCUCCGAAUCAAGCUCAAGCGGCUGAAGUGACGGCGGCGACGAGGUCAGCGGCGGCCGGAGUUCGGCCGCGACGGAGCUAUGGCCUAGAGCUCGCAAACGCGAGGGGAAAGAGAGGGGUUCUGCACGGAGGCUCACAGCGGGGUCGAUGAGCAGCUCGGUGGUCUCGGGGAGGCGUCGGAGGCGGCGAAUCGACCGCGGCGAUCGCCGGACAGAUGCGGCGAUGAAGGCGGCAGGGACGACGCUGCGGUGCACCUGGCGUCACGUGAGUUGGUGGAGACGAAGAGGAAGGCGCGGCGGUUCUUCUGGAAGCAUCGGCGAGGCGAGGGGUGGACAUUGGCCGCGGUGGAGCUCGUCGGUGCUCUCGGGUGCUCGUGGUCGAUCGNNNNNNNNNNNNNNNNNNNNNNNNNNNNNNNNNNNNNNNNNNNNNNNNNNNNNNNNNNNNNNNNNNNNNNNNNNNNNNNNNNNNNNNNNNNNNNNNNNNNNNNNNNNNNNNNNNNNNNNNNNNNNNNNNNNNNNNNNNNNNNNNNNNNNNNNNNNNNNNNNNNNNNNNNNNNNNNNNNNNNNNNNNNNNNNNNNNNGAGGAGGAGGGGGUCCAGAGCGAGGGGGGGAAUCAGGGGGAGUGCCGUGGCGUCUCCACGCGUGGACAGGCUCGAAGGGGAGGCCUCCAGCGUGAAGCAGGAGGUGGCCGGCGUCGACACGCGUGCGUCCAGCACGCAGCUGCUUCGGGGCGAGGGGGAGGAAGAUGACUGGUAGCUGGGCUCCACAGUAACGGGCCGCGCAGGAGCUGGGUUGGUUGGUGGCGCCAGGUAGGUAAGGGUCCAGGUGAGUCUCUAUUCUUUCUAUUUUUUUUGUUUCUGUUUUCUAAUUUUGCAGUUUUGUUUUAAUUUGGUUUCUUAACCAGAUUAUUUUUGCAGCUCUCUGGAAAUUAUUGUGGAUGCAUUAAGGUUUAUCCUAGAGCUCCACAAAAUAUUCCAGGAUCAUUGGAGCAAUAAAAAUAUUUAUAGAAUUUAUUUGCUCCAACUCAAAUACAAUUAUGAAUUAAUUCAAAAACCACAAAUGCAUUGGAAAAAUGUGCAUGACCUCUGAUUAAGGUUUUAACCUUUUUCCAGAAAUAAUGAACAUUUUUGGAGGGCAUUUUGGGUCCAAUGAAAAUAUUUGAAUUGAACCUAGUUAAAAUUAUUAUCUGGUAGGGUUUGAACAUCCCCAUUUCAAGUUUAAGAAAAAUUUAAACAUGAUGCACACAUGAAGCUAUCCUAGUGCAAUACCAGAAGCUAGGGAUGUGACAACUCACCCCCACUAAACAAGAAUCUCGUCCCGAGAUUCAAGCGUAGGGUAAGAUGAUGGGGGAACACAACUAACGCAAUCUUCACGGUCCAUGUUGUACUUCAAAUGAACGUUGAUUUGAUCCUCAUCUUUGUCCUGUCAUCUUGCUCUGAGAACUCCAGCCAAUAUGACAACGAGAGGAGAAGGGGACUCUAGAAGGAUCGAUCUUCUCGAAGAUCGAACAACUCAGGAUCAACUCAUGGGACAAGACAUUGACACAUCUCUCGAGCUGAGACACGAAGCACACAUCUAGAGGGAUGGAGUGAAACGGAUGACGAAGGUUCACUAGGUAGGCAACAAUUCCACACCUAAGAGGGUGGUGAACGGUUGUCAACGUAGCGAGGAGUUAAGUUGACAUGACACCAUAAUGAUGCACCUUAGGAAAGGUGACUCGUAGAAAUAUCCCCUUAAGUGGCAAAAAGAAUUACCUUUGAUUCAAAGAUCAUUGGAACUCUUUAUACCAGCUAAGGCAAUCACAAGCGAUCAUUUGGAGGGGGUCGGUAGAAUGGCAUACCCGGACUUGGAUGAUGUGGAUUACCUUGUUGAAGACAACGUAAUGGAUGAAUUUGCUUACCACCACAAAUGGAAGAGACCCAUGGUAGAAUGGCACAUUGGCGGUGCAAGCUGGGAACAAAAUGCAAAUGCUGGGAAUGAUUCUGGUAACUAGGGAAGAACCCGACAAUAGAGAGUGAAUUCACUGUUUGAAAAGGUCAUAGCAUUGCCGAGGAAACUGAGAGGAAUCCCAGUUAGUGCCGAUGAUAACACGUAGCGCUUGUGCGUGCUCUCAAGAACUUGAGCAUCUCCAUAUUCAUCAAGGUUUUACCAACAUCAAUGACAAGGAUCCUGGCAACACCACUUACUACCAUGAUGAAUGGUGAUGGAGGAUGCCGAUGCAUAGGAAGAUAACAUCAACUCAGAUUCCACCCUAGCAAGGCCAAGGAGACAAAAUCUGGACGAUCGACCGAGAGACAUUUAGCACUCCGCUCCUAAUGUUCUCCUUGAUGUGCUAGCAUAUCCCAUUCAUUGAAAUGGUUUGGUAACUAGACAUCAAGUAAAAGGUCGGACUUCGGGAACACAAAAAUCAUAAGGCACAACUAGGGAGUAAAUCCUACGAAGUCCUUAUGGGAAGGUGGCCAACUUCUUCAAUCAAGAUACUACAAUAAUAGGUCUUCCGGCUGGGUGUGUUGGCCAUGACAUCCACUUUACCGGUUAUCGAGGGACCAGUAUUAUAGUUCUUGGGAAAUGUUCCAACCAUCAUAUCUGCCUGAGAUUCAGAUCUGGUUGGUGUCAGGAUAUUCCAGACUCAUCGAGUCUAGGAAGAAAAAAGAAAGUUUGCAACACAAUUUGACGAGAUGACAUUGCGAGAUUCUCGGGAAAUGAACUACGAUAGCAAGCUCCAAAACAUGAGCUGGUUCUGCUACACACGUGUGAACACGCUGUCCCAGACAACAUGAUCACAUGGUAGUCUUAUAAUAAAAACACUACCGAGUUCUAGUAGGGAAUCAUCAACGUGGAUAACAAAGUCCUUGCAUAAGUCAUAUGAUUAGCUCUUAUGAAGGAACUUCUUCUCCUUGAACAAAUCAAUCAGUGGCUUGGUGUGCUCGGGACACAUAUGGAAUGAAGGUUGCAAGUCUCCAGACCACAGAAUACUUCGCACGUGUGCAUGACUGACUUGGGAUGAUUCCAGAGAAAGCAAAACUAACUUUCUCAAAUUCACGGCGGCAACUUUCACGAAAUGCACGUGUAUAAGAGGAAGUCACUUCUUUCAUCCGAACAUAUGCUUCAUGAACGGAACACGAAGAUAAUGCAUAUAUAAGUUUCCAACACUAGCUUAAUGUUCAACAAAAUUAUGGACAAGAUAAAAAUGUUGCUGAUGGACUCAACAACAAUUCAUCCAGGUUUCCAUAUAAGUGGAAUUCCACAAUUAUGUGAACAAGGUGAUAGCAUUGGUCAGACCAAAAAGAUAUAAUGGUGUAUGCUCGAGGGACAGCCACGAGUAAGACAACAUUACGAACAUCGUUGGUUCUGAUUUGAUUUAACGAUAGCCCAUACUCAAAGCAAAGGUUUUAUAAGAUAAUAGGUCCAACAACUGAUCACAGGGACUAAUCAAUGAAGAUAUCAUCUUUCUUCAACUAACACACCAAUACCAGGAUAUCCCUUGGAAACGACUAAGUUAGGUAAGCUUUUAUCUUCCAACUCUCCAAGUUGUCGUUUAGCUUAACCAACUAGCUUAGGGGUAUCCAACACGGAUUCUUGGAGAAGGGGUGGUUUAUAAAAAAAACCAACUUGAUCACGAGCUCAACAUAACAGUCAGAUGACGACCUGGUGAUACUACCGAGAAGAUAUUCGGAAAAUCACGAACCACCGAUAUGCUACUAAACUUGAGAACAAUCUUGCUUUUUAGGGCAAGACGAUAUGAUCAAAAGAGCGAGGGACCGAUACGAUCCCAACUCAUUGAUUGAAGAGUGUACCCGGAAAUAAGGACUAGGUAGCACAAUCUAUCUUAGAAUGACGAUUCGAGAUCCAACACGCUAAGAAUGAAAUUAUUGUCCUUUACUACCAAGUAACAAGGUUUCUAGGAGGAUUGAUUUCACACAUCAUAGUUGACAUGUCGGCAUUCUGGUUGCAGCAACAUGGGGACUGAGGAGUGAAUAAUGAUGGAGAGAGUAUCAAUGUAUCGAGAGUUCAUAGGAUGGUGUGCAAUUCCCAUGAUAUUCCUGAUAUAAAGAUGGUAAUACUCCAAGGUAGAACAGAACAAAAGUUGGAUUAGCAACUUGAUCUGCAGAGUACAACUGCUUUGACCCAAUCCUAGAUAUGGAUGAGGUACUGGAGUUCAUUUCUCCUAGUCAUCCUGGAUAGAAUGGCUUAACAGACCACAAGAUUAAAAAGCAUCGAUGAACGAAUGCACAUAUACUCUUGACUAUCAAUUGAUAGACGAGGGUCAGAAGACAACUAGAGCGGGACAACUCAAAGGAACAUACGAUUUUCUGAGUUGUGGAUGCAUGGUUUAGCAUGUCGAAUGAAGUUCAACAUAUUUCUUCCGGAUAACCCAUGUAGAGAGGUAGAACUGGCAGAAUCACAAUAUAGAAUGGAGAACUCAUCAAAAGCACUCUAGUUGUGAUCUUUUGGUUCAAAAGAACUCCUGCCAAGAAUGGUUCAUGGUAUUUGUAAGAACGAUAUACCACGGACCUCGAGGACUAUCGCAAAGGUUACUAAUAACCUAAAGGAACGAGCAAACACUAUCAACAUGAAGUAAGUAGGGUGGAUCUUGGGUCAAGAACCCGGGAAUAAAAUGCCUACUAACUAAGUGGCAUCACGGGAUGCUUUCGAGAAUGAUGGCCAGAAUCAUCACACUAGAACACAAAACAUGGCUAGAUCACUAGGUAAUACUCCAAGACACCUAGGGCCAUAAUCAUAAUUCCAACAUAUAUGUCAAGGCAAUAGAGUACCUCAACUCAACAAUUAGUGUGAUUAACCUGGCCCAAAGGAACAUCAGGAACAGGAGGAAGGGAUUUCCAAAUGCUUCAGACUAUUAAGAAACAUGGGAUGACUCGGACAACAUAACGGCUGUAAAUGCUCAGAAAAGAUUUGAGACAUUCAGAAAAAUGGUGGCAUAACCACUCGGAAGCACAAUAUCAAGGUUUCGAGAUCAACAGUUAACAUACGGAAGUAGUAGAAACUGAAUAGAGGCUUAAGUCCAACAAUUCUAUAAGUCUACGGAUUAGUAACACGUGAUCCUAAUAGAAAGAAGAGAUAGCCUAGUUCUUAAUCCCCGUAGAAGAGAAGAGGAUGACUCAGAUCAGAGGGCCAUAAGGUAUAAGGAGUAAAAAGAGCCUUACGUUCCAUCCCACAAUCAAUUCCCUUAUAUAACUAAAGCAUUUCUAGACUCAACUUCGACCAGUUUGGCUUGGUAAUCCUACAGGCAGUCAAGCUCUGAUACCAAAGCUGUCAGGACCCCGACUCAAUGCCACAUCGAUCUAGCAUGUAACACCUCAUAUCACUUUGCGGCCUCACGCACGGUAUUCCCACGGGUGUCGCCUUACCUUUGCCCGGGUCCGUUUGCGCCUUUUGGCACACGUAUAUGAUAGUGUCGCUAGCAUCCAUAUGAUAAGGACCCCGGCUGACAUGACUAGUCGUAAACCCAAAGUGGCACAGACUUACAGGGACAGGCAUCCAUGACCCAGCAUCGAACGUGUCGGUCAUCAGCAAGUGGGUCCGGGCUGUAGCACUGGGCUAGCAGGAUUCCGGUAAACCGGGCUGUAGCGGGCUAACAGGGCUCCGGUACUCAAUGCGUGACAUUUCCCCGAAGGGACAGACACAGGAACGAAGAAGGACACAUGCCGGCCAGCCUAAGUGUUCCGGAGCAGUAGCAAACUACCAUGGCUCAGUGGAAACACUAGGAGACAUUUCCCGGUAAGAGAGGCUACUAAAGAUAAACAACUAGAUAGUCAGAUCCCACACAUACCAAGCAUUUCAAUAACAUACACACAAUAUGCUCGAUAUGUGCAAAUACAGCAUGGCAUCACAACAUGACUCUACAACUCAAGUAUUUAUUCAUUAGGCUCCGAGGAGCGAGAUAUUACAAACAGGGGUCUCAUGACCCAACAUUCAGAGCAUACAAAUCAAAGCACAUGCAGAAGCUAUGAUGUCUGAGUACAGACAUCUAUAAAUGAAAAGGCUGAGAAGCCUGACUAUCUACCAAAUCCUGCCGAGGGCACAAGAUCGUAGCUGAGGUAACAAGCUAAACGUCGAAGUCCACAUGGAACUACUAGUGAGACUGAAGUCUCUCUCUGCAAAAACAUAAAUUAAGCAACGUGAGUACAAAUGUACCCAGAAAGACUUACAUCAGAACUAACUACAUAUGCAUCAUUAUCAACAAAGGGGAUGGUGGGGUUUAACUGCAGCAAGCCAGCUUUGACUCGGUGGCUAACCUGAACUACGACUGCAAGUAACUCUUUUGAGGUGGCGCACACGAGUCCACAUAUUCACCAUAUCAAUACACCACUAUGGAUCCGCUCCCAUCUCCCUACGAGAACGCCAUCCAUAGCACUCACGCUUAUCUUGCAUAUUUUAGAGUAUCCACUUUCACUUGUCUAUGAACUGAUAUAAGCAACCCAGAAGUCCAUUACCGCGGACACGGCUAUUCGAAUAGAUCAUAUUAACCCUGCAGGGGUGUUCUUCUUCACGCACGCCCUCGCCACUUAUCGCCCUGUACACGUCAUGUACCUCGGCAACCUUCAAGCGGAAGCCGGGCGAGGGAGUCGGCCACGACCUGACUAACCAUACAAGUCUCUCGUCCAGGUUUAUCGCCUAUUCGGGUUCCAUCCGCAAGGAGAUCCGGCCGGGGUGUCGCUCACGGCCCCAAACGAUGUGAGCAGGGUUCCCAAGCCCACCAUCCGGGUGCCACUUGGUACACCGUGCCACUGUGCCUAGUCUGUCCCAAGCCCACCUGUACCGGGUGCCACUUGGUAGACUACUAACACUACCUACAAACACCAGAAACUAGUUGCAACUCCUGGACAGAGAUCAUGUUGAUUAAUAAGUCGAGAGGGGUCGAGUUACCGGAACCCAAUGUGUGGUAGUAACUGGUCAUGGAUCAGAAACACAGAACUCAGUUCCUGAAGACGGCUGCAAUGAGACAACCCACCAUGUACUCCUACAUGGCCUCUCACCGCUACCUUUACCAAAUCGUGUUCACACACUUAGCUCUCGACGGUAGGACAUGUUCACACACCUCUGAUUCAUCCCCGAUGAAUCAGACCUGACUCAACUCUAAGCAGUAACAGGCAUGACAAACAAGCAUGAAUGAGUAGGCACAACAGGGCUCAAACAACUCCUACUCAUGCUAGUGGGUUUCAUCUAUUUACUGUGGCAAUGACAGGUCAUGCAGAGGAUAAAGGGGUUCAACUACCGCAGCAUGUAACAGUUGAAUCGGUGUUGUCCUAAUGUAGUAAAAGAGAGCAGGAGCGAGAGAGUGGGAUUGUAUCGGAAUGAACAAGGGGUUUUUGCUUGCCUGGCACUUCUGAAGAUAACAUUGAGUCUUCAUUAGUGUCAACGAUCACAUCAUCGGUACAGCGUCUACCGAGGGGGAACAACACCGGCAAACACAGAAGAAACACGAUCAAUGCAAUGCACAAUAUGAUGCAUGCUAUGACAUGGCAAUAUGAAUGUGUUUUGGGCUAAUGCAUCUAGCAACAGGUUAAAUGGGGUUGGUUUGAACACUAGGUUCAAAUUCAAACUCCAUAUGUGAGAGUUUAAAUGCCAUUUAAUUGAUUUGUGCUAAACAGCAGCUAUAAGUUGUUCUAACAUGCAUGAAAAUGGUACAGAUGGAUAGAUUGGAUUUUUCUGAUCAUUUUUCAUAUAUAAUUUAUUUCAUUUGGAGUUACGGUUGAAUUUCUAUGAUUUAUUGAAGUUUUGAACAUUUUCUGAAAAUAAUAAAUCAUUUAAGAUUUAUUUUAAAUUCCAGAAAGGAAUUAUUGCGUCAUCAUGACCUCAUAGUGACAUCAGUAGGUUAACGGCGCCGUCCAGGUCAAACCUGACGUGUGGGGGCCACACGUCAGUGACACAUGGCUGUUUAGCUCACUGACAGGUGGGACCAGGUCAACGGCCACGUCAGCGUAGUCAACACUGACGCGUGGCCCAUCGGGGUUAGUUAAACUAAGCAGAAAAUGUAAUUUGUGUUAAUUAGGGCGUGGGUCCCAUUAGUAAGUGGCCUAGGGGGUUGGUUAGUGUGUGGGGGGGGGGGUUAGCCGCUAACGACGGCCACGUCGGAUUCGCCGGCGGUUAGAUGACGGCUACGACCCAGAGCGGCGGUGGCUCGCCGGAGUGGCGCCAGGGGCCGCAGCUGAGGGUGCUGAGGGCGCCUGGAGGUAGCCCAUGCUCCCGCGCAUCUAGCGGAGGCAGGGGCAGGUCACGGGGUGGUCGGAGCUCGCCGGAAGUGAGCUCGCGGCGGCGCCGGAGUUCAGGUGAGUGCGGGGUUGGCGCUGUGGUGCACGGGAGGGCAGUUAGAAUAUGCGUUAGGCUCCUGGUGGCUUCCUGAGUGCGGUGACACACUCCGAAUCAAGCUCAAGCAGCUGCAGUGACGGCGGCGACGAGGUCAGCGACGGCCGGAGUUCGGCCGCGACGGAGCUAUGGCCUAGAGCUCGCAAACGCGAGGGGAAAGAGAGGGGUUCUACACGGAGGCUCACAGUGGGGUCGAUGAGCAGCUCGGUGGUCUCGGGGAGGCGUCGGAGGCGGCGAAUCGACCGCGGCGAUCGCCGGACAGAUGCGGCGAUGAAGGCGGCAGGGACGACGCUGCGGUGCACCUGGCGUCACGUGAGUUGGUGGAGACGAAGAGGAAGGCGCGGCGGUUCUUCUGGAAGCAUCGGCGAGGCGAGGGGUGGACAUUGGCCGCGGUGGAGCUCGUCGGUGCUCUCGGGUGCUCGUGGUCGAUCGCGAGAGAGAGAGAGCAGAGGAGGAGGAGGGGGUCCAGAGCGAGGGGGGAAUCAGGGGGAGUGUCGUGGCGUCUCCACGCAUGGACAGGCUCGAAGGGGAGGCCUCCAGCGCGAAGCAGGAGGUGGCCGGCGUCGACGCGCGUGCGUCCAGCACGCAGCUGCUUUGGGGCGAGGGGGAGGAAGAUGACUGGCAGCUGGGCUGCACAGUAACGGGCCGCGCAGGAGCUGGGCUGGUUGGUGGCGCCAGGUAGGUAAGGGUCCAGGUGAGUCUCUGUUCUUUCUAUUUUUUUUUUGUUUCUGUUUUCUAAUUUUGCAGUUUCGUUUUAAUUUGGUUUCUUAACCAGAUUAUUUUUGCAGCUCUCUGGAAAUUAUUGUGGAUGCAUUAAGGUUUAUCCUAGAGCUCCACAAAAUAUUCCAGGAUCAUUGGAGCAAUAAAAAUAAUUAUAGAAUUUAUUUGCUCCAACUCAAAUACAAUUAUGAAUUAAUUCAAAAACCACAAAUGCAUUGGAAAAAUGUGCAUGACCUCUGAUUAAGGUUUUAACCUUUUUCCAGAAAUAAUGAACAUUUUUGGAGGGCAUUUUGGGUCCAAUGAAAAUAUUUGAAUUGAACCUAGUUAAAAUUAUUAUCUGCUAGGGUUUGAACAUCCCCAUUUCAAGUUUAAGAAAAAUUUAAACAUGAUGCACACAUGAAGCUUUCCUAGUGCAAUACCAAAAGCUAGGGAUGUGACAUCUGCCUUCAACAAUGGAAAAAGCCAUCAAAGCCCCAUCCAGAUCUUACUUUUGUCGAUGAUAGAGCAAAAAUGCGCUUUGGGAAGAACUCAUGGAACAUUUCACCCUACCAGAUCAUUUCAUAGCUGCAGAUGUGGAGAAAGUCAAGGAUGCUGCUCUUAGGAAGAUGGCAAUUGCAUUCAACAACCAUAAGAAAACUGUAUGGAAGGACUACCUCAAAGCAGGAAAGAAGACUCCAGAAUUCAAGGGAACACUGGAGAAAAGAGAACACUGGGACGAUUUCGUGAAAUUCAAGGAAUAAGGAUUAUCUAAGGAACGGUCCAGAAAAAACAAGGCCAAUGCCGCCAAAAAGGAGCAAUUCCAUAGGCUGGGGCCAGGUGGCUACGCGGUGGCAAUGCCUAAGUGGGAUAAGUCUGAACAAGUGAUGCUGGCUGCACAGGUCACUCCAGUUACAUUGAGUUGGCCCCCCAGGUGCAGAAGUUGGUUCUAUGCGCAUGGGGGGGCGUUGGACCCGAAGACAGGCUUGGUUUCGAAGAAGGCAUGUAUUGAAGGAGCCGUUGAAAAGUUAGUUGAAGCAAUAGAAGAGGCUCGAAAGGGGGUGUUCACACCCAACAGAGAGAACGACGAGCUUACACGCGCCCUAGGAAAUCCUGAACACCCGUGAAGAACACGAGGCAAGGGCGUUGUUCCGUGGUAUGAGGGCUUUUCUGAGUGGAACGCCGACUAUAGAAGCCGUGCGAGAAGGAAGAUGGAGGAGGAGAAGAAGAAGAAGCUAGAGGACGAGCGAGGAAGCAGGAACUAGAACGGCUUCAAGGCCUAGAAUCAGCGCACGCGGACUUGGCACUCAAAUUCCAGAGGCAGCAGGAGCAGAUCGACUCGCUUAGCCAGGAAAGGGGGUCUCAACAGCGGCCGCAGCUAGCGCAUGAUCCAGCAUUGGAUAGCACCGUCCCAUCCAUGCGGAGAAGCAGCAUGGGCUCCGCCCCGGGCGACGCACUGAUGGAUAGACACCCUGUGGAUGACAUCAAGGAGAACACUAACUGUGAGUUACACUUCAAAGUAAAGAACAUAUCCGUGAAGGCGGCGGAUGCCGUUGCUUAUACAACCCCCCCCCCCCGGAGCAACCUACCAUUGCAGAACGAUUCCAGCCGGCUAUGCUCGUGUCGUGGUUGAUGAGGUGGUGGACCAUUAUUCAGGGCUACAACUUGACAUUCCUGGAGGUGACGAGGAGCACACACUGGGAGAGGCCAUACAUCGUAUCAUCCUAUGGAGAAAGGAUUGCAUCAUCUUUCCAAGGCCACCGACACCGCGUCAGCUAGAGCUUGAAAUUCCAGGAGGUGACGAGGAGCAGAUGACUCACGCUCCUCCAACGCGUGAGGCCACUCCUCCUNNNNNNNNNNNNNNNNNNNNNNNNNNNNNNNNNNNNNNNNNNNNNNNNNNNNNNNNNNNNNNNNNNNNNNNNNNNNNNNNNNNNNNNNNNNNNNNNNNNNNNNNNNNNNNNNNNNNNNNNNNNNNNNNNNNNNNNNNNNNNNNNNNNNNNNNNNNNNNNNNNNNNNNNNNNNCCUCCUGCUUCAACUCAGCCAUUGUGUGAGGCCACUCCUCCUGCUUCAACUCAGCCAACGCGUGAGGCCACUCCUCCUCCUUCAAAUCAGCCAAUGCGUGAGGCCACUCCUCCUCCUCCAAGUCCACCAACGCGUGCCACUCCUCCUCCAAGUCCGACACCACGUCAGCCGUCUCCGCUGCCUCAGCAAUCACGGAAGAGAGCCGCCACAGCUAUGGUGCAUAGUGCUACAAGUCGAGGUAGUACAGGAGGUACAGGCAGAGGCAAGCGAUUUCAAUAUGGUCCAAAAAGCCCCACGCCUCUUCCGCAGAGGCCUUACGACAUGACCAAGGAGCAAAACAAUGCCAUAGUGAAGGCCCAAGUGGAGGCCCAUUUCGCACCAAAACCGGCACCGCCGCCAAGGGAGAAAGUGCUGAGGAGAAGAUUGACCACUUUAUUCGUAUGGCGCGACCACCAGCUCCCAAGCCCGUUGACUCAGACUAUGAGAGCCAAAUCAGGAAGGCACAUCGAGCACGACAACAGGGGUCGAGCUCGAGCUCGAGCCAAGCAGCUGGCCAAAAAUGCGGGAAAACUGUUCCCCAGCUAAGAGAAUAGGCGGUGCAAUCGAUCCCCCCGCUUGUUGUACCAACACAUGAGAGUACCGGUGCCGGUCAGCUGGUAAUAAUCGAGGAGCAUAGACGAAAUGCUGAAAUGCUUGGCAUCACUGUUGGACAACUCCUCGAGAUUGAGCCCAUGCCUAAGCUUAAAGAGGAGGAGAUAAAAUGGAAAUAUGCCCGCGGCCAACCUUUGAUAAGGCCUGAGGAGGUCAAGAACCUCCCAACGAGAAUGUAUCAAUUGCAUGAUUGGUACAUGAAAAUUACCAAGAGUAGCAAUUGAGAGGGCCUCAUGGUGAAAGUCAAGGAAGAGUAUUACUUCCAUAAGCUAGCUCUGUCCAUUGAGUAUUCAGAACUAUUUCAGUUAUUCCAUCAAGAUGCACUCGACAAAUCCGUCGCCAGUUUGUAUUGUCUGUAAGUGAUUUCUUUCUGUAUUUCAAGUCUCAAGAUAGCUGAGUGCUCAUUCAUCGAUCAUUACAUGUAAUUAUCCUCACUAUAUUCUUUUCUAUGGUAUAUUAUGCAGGAUGAAGAUGUAUGAAAUGAAAAAAGCUGGAUGCUAUGGCAUUGGGUUCAUUGACCCAUAUACCAUUAAUGAAGAAACAUGGUCAUAUGCAUGGUAUCAAACAGAGGUAGAGAAAAACAUGCUAGAGUUCUUGAAGCGCCUCAAUACCAAUGAACAUAUACUACUUCCUUACAACUACACAUGAGUCACACUGUCUUGUACUACAAAUUUUGUUUUUACUUACUAGCCAGCUAGAUAUUAAUAAUUAAGUGUAUAGGGUUUAGGGUAGUUGAUGAGGGUUAUGCACAUGCCCGCUUAAUUAAGACAUGCAAACAUGUGUGCAUGCAGUUACCAUUGGAUCUUGUUAAUCAUUAAAGUUGACGAAGGAACAGUUGAAGUACUGGACUCGCUACUUAAAGAGAAGAGAGAGUACACAACCGUGAAGGGGAUAGUCGACAGGUAAUUUCAAUCAUUAUUAACUAUAUGUCGGCCUCUUUAGUUCGUCAUUUCCUGAUAUCAACUAUUUAAUAACUCGUUUAUUCAUUUUCUUCGCCGGCGGGCAGGGCUUGGGCAAAGUUCAGGAAUUCGAAAGAGGUUCCAGGCGAAUGGAGAGAAAGGCUGCAUUGGUUUCGACCCAAGGUAUAAUUAAUUAAGUAGUACUAUCUUACCAUGCAUCUCUUUAAUUGUAGUUUCAAUACCAUUAAUUAUCAUGCUUGAUUAAUUAUUAUCUGAUUAAAUUCUAUUAUCGUAAAGGCCCUGAAGCAGGCGCAGGGGAGAGAUCAUUGUGCAUACUGCGUUUUUGAGAACAUUCACAUGAUGACAUUCGAAAGGACCAAAACUGAGAGACAGCUAUGGGUACGCGCGUUUGAUAGAACACUAUUCAUAAUUUUUACGUCAUUAUUGAUAUCUAGUCACAUAACUAAUACACAUGCAUAUUGAUCUCCUUCUUAACAGUUCGAAUCGGUGCGGGAGACGUUCCUACCAGUGGAGCGCAUACGAGCACUUCAAGAGGAAAUAGCGGGAUUUUUGCUCGACAAGGUCAUAGAUCCCAAAGGGGAAUUCUACUACCCGCUACCGCCCCAAUGAACUACUCCCAAUUGUCAUCGUGCUCCGAAGGCACCAAGGCAAAUGCCACUGGCUCUGAAAGGCUACAUGUAGGAAAAAUUGUAAUAUAUAUAUAUAUAUAUAUAUAUAUAUAUAUGCAUGUGUAUGUGUGAAUUAAUGGUGCGGUUGUGAGACAUUCGAUGAUAUAUAAUCGGUUCUACGAGAAAUUCUGUUUAUAUAUAUGCAUAAUGUGUACAAUAUGUAGUAUCGUAAAAUACCAACAAACAAAAAAGAAUUAAAUAGAAAACACAAAAUUAAAGGAAAAAUAAAUAAUAAAACCCAAACCCCCCAAACAUUUUAGUACCGGUUGGUAACACCAACCAGUACUAAAGCUCUCCCCACUCCCCGGCCCUGGCUCGUGCCACGUGGUGGCCCUUUAGCUGCGGUUCGAGCCAAACCGGUACUAAGGGGGGGGGGCUUUAGUACCCACCCUUUAGUGCCGGUUACAGAACCGGCACUAAAGCCCCUUACGAACCGGGGGUAUAGCCCGGUUGUGCACUAGUGUAAAAAGAAUGUGUUGAAAGGCUAACACAGUGCACCUAAGCUAGUGCUACAGUGGCCCAGCCCACCCAUCCUACAGUGGCCCAGCCCACCUCCCCUCAUCUCCCUCCUCACGCUACAGGAGGCAGAGGAGGGUGUGGCACGCAUCCGAGCCACCUUGGGCAUGGAUGGCCUCCACGUUGCCCCCCAUGACCUAUAAAUGCGUCCAUCGUAAACCCUAGCCUGCUCUUGAUUGAUCCCCUCUUAUUCCCCCAUCGUGCCCCCCUCAUCUACUCGAGAACGAGCUACUAAACACGUGCGGUGACCGCGAACGCCGCCACCAUUGUCGCGGCCGCCGUCGCCCCGGCGCCCUGCGGACGUAUCUAGAAGCUCCACCAUCAUUUGCCUCUUCGCCUUCGUCCAUUGGAUCCUACCAGACUUGACCGCGUCGUUGGGAUCGAGCUUCUUCUUCAACUUCGGCCACCGUCAUCCACCAAGUCGAUCCACCGACGCCGCUGCAUCAUCGUCUUCACCGAGACCUCCCCGGCUUCUCCGAGUCGCCCACGACCUCCCCAGUGAGCACCUGGGUCGAUUUCCCCUCUCCCCCCUUGUUUUUCAUCUCUGUACGGUCCGCCCCACGGUCGCCUCGACCGCGUCCGAGCUCGCAGUCGCCGUCCUAUGUCUACGCGUGUUCACGCUAUAGCCACACGCCUGCUGGCCCCCGCACCCCCCUUCGCCUUGACCUGCUCCCGCCAUGCCCUCCUUUGCCGGCCAUCACAUCACCCACCGGUGCCCGCACCUCUCCUGCUACCGGACGCUACUCCUACUUCUGCCACCAGCUUCUGCUACUGCUGCUUUGCUGGUUGCUGCUACACUGCCAUAGCUGCUGCUGCUCCCUCCUCUCAUUCCCUGCUGCUGCUUGAUACGUCCAUUUUGCAUCAUGUUUUCUUACUGUUAUUUAUAAUGUUUUUAUCCAUAAUAAUGCUUUUUGGAGUAAUUCUAAUGCCUUUUCUCUCAUAAUUUGCAAGGUACACACCAAGAGGGAGAAUUCUAGUAGCUGGAAAUCUGGACCUGAAAAAUCUACGUCAGGCUACCUGUUGUGCACAACUCCAAACAAGCUGAAACUUCACGAAUUUUUUUAAUGGAAUAUUUAAGAAAUGUGGAGCAAAUAACUACCAGAGGGGGCCCACCAGGUGGGCACAACCCACCUGGGCGCGCCAGGGAGCCCAGGCGCCCCCUGGUGCGUUGUGCCCUCCUCGGCCCACCUCCGGUGCCCAUCUUCUGGUAUAUAAGUCAUUUUGACCUAGAAAAAAAUAAAGGGAGAGAAUUUAGGGAUGGAGCGCCACCGUCUUGAGGCAGAACUUGGGCAUGAGCACUUUUGCUCUCCGGCGGAUGAUACGCCUCCAACGUAUCUAUAAUUUUUGAUUGCUCCAUGCUACUUUAUCUACUGUUUUAGGCAAUAUUGGGCUUUAUUAUCCACUUUUAUAUUAUUUUUGGGACUAACCUAUUAACCGGAGGCCCAACCCAGAUUUGCUGUUUUAUGCCUAUUUCAGUGUUUCGAGGAAAAGGAAUAUCAGACGGAGUCAAAACGGAACGAAAUCAACUGGAGAAGUUAUUUUUGGAAGGAAAGCCACCCGAUGGACUUGGAGUGCAUGUCAGGGAAGAAGGGAGGUGCCCACGAGGGUGGGGGGCGCGCCCCCUACCUCGUGCCCCCCCUUCGGUCCACCGACGUACCCCUUCCACCCAUAUAUACCUACGUACCCCAAAACUUCCAGAACAGAAGAUAGAUCGGGAGUUCUGCCGCCACAAGUCUCUGUAGCCACCAAAAACCUCUCAGGAGCCCUUCCCGGCACCCUGCCGGAGGGGGGAUCCCAUCAUCGGUGGCCAUCUUCAUCAUCCCGGCGCUAUCCAUGAUGAGGAGGGAGUAGUUCACCCUCGGGGCUGAGGGUAUGCACAAGUAGCUAUGUGUUUGAUCUCUCUCUCUCGUGUUCUCUCUCGUGUUCCCUCUAUGGCACGAUCUUGAUGUAUCCCGAGCUUUGCUAUUGUAGUUGGAUCUUAUGAUGUUUCUCCCCCUCUACUCUCUAAUGAUGAAUUGAGUUUCCCCUUUGAAGUCAUCUUAUCGGAUUGACUCUUUUAUGAGAACACUUGAUGUAUGUCUUGCAUGGGAUAACCGUGGUGACAAUGGGUUAUUCUAUUGAUCCACUUGAUGUAUGUUUUGGUGAUCAACUUGCAGGUUUCGUGACAUUGGGAACCUAUGCAUAGGGGUUGGCACCCGUUCUUGUCUCUCCGGUAGUAGCUUUGGGGCACUCUUUGAAGUACUUUUAUGUUGGUUGGAUGAAUAUGAGAUUGUGUGAUGCAUAUCGUAUAAUCAUACCCAACGAUACUUGAGGUGACAAUGGAGUAUCUAGGUGACAUUAGGGUUUUGGUUGAUUUGUGUCUUAAGGUGUUAUUCUAGUACGAACUCUUUUAUAGAUCGAUCCAAAAGAAUAACUUUGAGGUGGUUUCGUACCCUACCAUAAUCUCUACGUUUGUUCUCCGCUAUUAGUGGCUUUGGAGUGACUCUUUGUUGCAUGUUGAGGGCUUGUUAUAUGAUCUAUCUAUGUUAUUAUUGUUGAGAGAACUUGCACUAGUGAAAGUAUGAACCCUAGGCCUUGUUUCCUACCAUUGCAAUACCAUUUACGCUCACUUUUACCACUAGUUACCUUGCUGUUUUUAUAUUUUCAGAUUACAAAAACCUAUAUCUACUAUCUAUUUUGCACUUUUAUCACCAUCUCUUCGCCGAACUAGUGCACCUAUACAAUUUACCAUUGUAUUGGGUGUGUUGGGGACACACGAGACUCUUUUGUUAUUUGGUUGCAGGGUUGUUUGAGAGAGACCAUCUUCAUCCUACGCCUCCUACGGAUUGAUAAACCUCAGGUCAUCCACUUGAGGGAAAUUUGCUACUGUCCUACAAACCUGUGCACUUGCAGGCCCAACAACAUCUACAAGAAGAAGGUUGUGUAGUAGACAUCAAGCAGUUUCUGGCGCCGUUGCCGGGGAUAUUAGCGCUUGAAGGUACAUCUUUAGAUCUUGCAAUCGAAUCUUUUUGUUUCUUGUUUUAUCACUAGUUUAGUCUAUAAAAGAAAACUACAAAAAAAUGGAAUUGAGUUUGUCACAUACGCUUCACCUUUUUAAUAUCUUUCGUGAGUAUGAUGGAAAGGAAAAUUGUGCUCAAGUGCUAGAAGAAGAAUUACAUAGAAUGCUUGGCAUAAAAUAUGUGAAUGAUGAGCAUGAUUGCAAUGUUGUUAGUAUGAAUUCCCUGAAUACCCAUGAUGCUAAUGAUAUGCAAAGCCACAAGCUUGGGGAAGCUAUGUUUGAUGGAGAUGAUAUUUUUUGUCCCCCAAGCUUUGAUGAGCAAAUUUACUAUGAUGAAAGCAUGCCUCCUAUCUAUGAUGAUUAUUGUGAUGACACGUAUGCUUUAAAGAAUAAUGAUAACCAUGAAACGUGUCAUCUUGAUCUUUUCAAUCACAUGAUAGUUAUUUUGUUGAGUUUGCUCCCACUACUAUUCAUGAGAAGAAAUUAGCUUAUGUUGAGAGUAGUAAAUUUUCUAUGCUUGUAGAUCAUGAAAAUAAUGCUUUAGGUGCUGGUUAUAUUGUUGAACUCAUUCAUGAUGCUACUGAAAAUUAUUAUGAGAGAGGAACAUAUGCUUGUAGGAAUUGCAAUAAUAUCAAGUUUCCUCCCUAUGUGCUUAAAUUCUUGAAGCUAUGCUUGUGUUACCUUCCUAUGCUAGUUGAUUAUUGUUUUUUCUAUAGUUACAAAAAAUUACAAACUUUCUGUUAGUGCAAGUAGUUUUCAAAUUUGAAUAGUUUAAAUUUUAAUUAUUUGACGAACUAAUUUGUAGACGAAGUGCAUCCAGUUUUUGCACAUAAAAUUUCUUCGCGUUUCAAAUACCAAAACGCAUAAGUACCCUAACAAUUACAAAGAUUCCCUCCGGUUUGUUUGAAGCGGCACUUUCCAGAUAUAUAAGUCUGGAAAGUCACUACAGAAGAAAGUGAUGAUGGUGAAGCCUAUCACAUGCCAGUGUGGGAUCUUUGGGUGUGAAACUUUUUCUUCGCGUGUGUCCCAUUGCGCUGUAACCAUGGACAAUCUUCAUCAUUUAACUGGAUGCUCGGAUCAAUAUUCACUUUGAAUGGAGCAAUUUCAUCAAACUUUUCAUAAUCUUCUGACAUGUCUGUCUUGUCAUCCACUCCCAUGAUGUUUCUUUUCCCUGAAAGAACUAUGUGGCGCUUUGGCUCAUCGUAUGAUCCAUUCGCUUCCUUAUCUUUUCUUUUUCUCGGCCUGGUAGACAUGUCUUUCACAUAGAAAACCCGCGCCACAUCAUUGGCUAGGACGAAUGGUUCGUCUGCAUACGCAAGAUUGUUGAGAUCCACUGUUGUCAUUCCGUACUGCGGGUCUUCUAUUACCCCACCUCGUGUCAUAUUGACCCAUUUGCACCGAAACAAAGGGACCUUCAAACCACCUCCAUAGUUAAGUUCCCAUAUGUCCUCUGUGUAACCAUAAUAUAUUUCCUUUCCCGUGUUGGUUGUUGCAUCAAAGCGGACACCACUGUUUUGGUUGGUGCUCUUCUUAUCUUGGGCGAUCAUGUAAAAUGUAUUCCCAUUUAUCUCGUACCCUUUGAAAGUCAUUAUAUUCGAAGAUGGUAACUGGGACAGCAAGUACAUGUCAUCUUCAAUAUCGCCAUCAUGCAUGGCACAUGUCUGCAACCAACCACCAAAAGUCCUUGUUUGUUCACGUGUAAUCCAGUGGUCAGACUGCUCCGGGUUUUUGGAGUGUAGAAAAUACUUGUGUUCCUCCAUAUACGGAGCCACCAAGGCGGAAUUCUGUAGAACUGUGUACUGUGCUUCAGUGAGAGAAUGCCCGUCCAUACAUAUUAUUUGAUCCCCUCCUAGCGUGCCUUUUCCAUCCAGUCUGCCCUUAUGCCGCGAUUCAGGAACACCAAUCGGCUUAAGAUCAGGAAUAAAGUCAAUACAAAACUCAAUGACCUCCUCAUUUUCAUGGCCCUUCGAGAUGCUUCCUUCUGGCCUAGCACGGUUAUGAACAUAUUUCUUCAAGACUCACAUGAACCUCUCAAAGGGGAACAUGUUGUGUAGAAAUACAGGACCCAAAAUGUUAAUCUCUUCGCAAAGGUGAACUAGGACGUGUGUCAUGAUGUUGAAGAAGGAUGGUGGGAACACCAACUCAAAACUGACAAGACAUUGCACCAAAUCAUUCUAUAACCUUGGUAUGAUUUAUGGAUCAAUUACCUUCUGAGAGAUUACAUUGAGGAAUGCACAUAACUUCACAAUGGCUAAUCGAACAUUUUCCGGUAGAAGCCCCCUCAAUGCAACCGGAAGCAGUUGCGUCAUAAUCACGUGGCAGUCAUGAGACUUUAGGUUCUGGAACUUUUUCUUUGCCAUAUUAUUAUUCCCUUUAUAUUCGACGAGAAGCCACACAGUACCUUCAUACUGAGCAGGCAUUCAAAGAAGAUUUCCUUCUCUUCUUUGGUAAGAGCGUAGCUUGCCUGACCCUGAUGUAUGCCGUCUUUUCCGUGCAUAUGUUGCUGGUCCUCCCAUGCCUCUGGUGUAUCUUUUGUCUUCCCAUACACGCCCAAGAAGCCAAGCAGGGUCAUGCAAAGAUUCUUCGUCACGUGCAUCAUGUCGAUUACAGAGUGGACCUCUAGGUCUUUCCAAUAUGGCAGGUCCCAAAAUAUAGAUUUCUUCUUCCACAUGGGUGUGUGUCUGCCAGCGUCCUUCAGAAAAGGUUGUCCGCCAGGACCCUUUCCAAAGAUUACCUUCAAAUCCUUGACCAUAUCAUGUACAUCAGCACCAGUACGGUGGCGAGGCUUUGUCUGGUGAUCUGCAUCACCUUUGAAUGCUUGCCUUUCUUUCUUACGGGAUGCCUGCUCGAAAGAAAUCGACAAUGUCCCAGGUACACAUUCUUCCUACAACUAUCCAAAUAUAUACUGUCAGUAUCAUCCAAAUAGUGCAUGCAUCCGCGGUAUCCCUUGUUUGUCUGUCCUGAAAGGUUACUAAGAGUAGGCCAAUCAUUGAUGGUCACGAACAGCAACGCCUUUAGGUCAAAUUCUUCCUGUAUGUGCUCAUCCCACGCAGGUACACCUUUUCCAUUCCACAGUUGUAAUAGUUCUUCAACUAAUGGCCUUAGGUACACAUCAAUAUCGUUGACGGGUUGCUUAGGGCCUUGGAUGAGCACUGGCAUCAUAAUGAACUUCCACUUCAUGCACAACCAAGGAGGACGGUUAUACAAACAUAGAGUCAUAGGGCACGUGCUAUGGUUGCUGCUCUGCUCCCCAAAAGAAUUAAUGCCAUCUACACUUAGACCAAACCAUACGUUCCUUGGGUCACCUGCAAACUCCUCCAUGUACUUUCUCUCGAUUUUUCUCCACUGCGACCCAUCAGCAGGUACUCUCAACUUUCCGUAUUUCUUACGGUCUUCUCCGUGCCAUCGCAUCGCCUUCCCAUGCUCUUUGUUUUGGAACAAACGUUUCAACAGUGGUAUUAUAGGAGCAUACCACAUCACCUUCGCAGGAAUCUUCUUCCUGAGGCGCUCGCCCUCGACAUCACCAGGGUCGUCGCAGCUGAUCUUAUAGCGCAAUGCACUGCAUACCAGGCAUGCAUUCAAAUCCUCGUACUCAUUGCGGUAGAGGAUGCAGUCAUUAGGGCAUGCAUGUAUCUUCAGCACCUCUAAACCUAGAGGGCAGACAGCCUUCUUCACUUCAUACGUACUCACGGGCAAUUCGUUGUCCUUUGGAAGCAUAUUCUUCAUCAUUACCAGCAACUUUCCAAAUCCCUUGUCAGAUAGACCAUUCUUUGCCUUCCAUUGCAGCAAUUCCAGUGUGGUGCCCACCUUUUUCUUGUCACCUUCGCAAUUCGGGUACAACAAUUUCUUGUGAUCCUCUAACAUGCGCUGCAACUUCUUCUUCUCCUUUUCACUUGCGCAGUUUCUCUUUGCAUCGGCAAUGGCGACCUAGAUCAUCAACGGGCUCAUCUGAUGCCUCUUCUUCGGCUUCUUCCCGCAUGGCUGGCUCAGCUUCUUCCCCCAUUGUUGUAUCAUCGUAUUUAGGGAACCCAUUGCGAGGAUAGCUAUCGUCAUCCUCUUCUUCUUCAUUGUCUUCCAUCAUAACCCCUCUUUCUCCGUGCGUGGUACAAACAUUAUAGUGGGGCAUGAAACCGGACUCAAACAGGUGGACGUGAAUGGUUCUUGAGUUAGAGUAAUUGUGACCAUUCUUACAGCCAGCACAUGGACAAGGCAUAAAACCAUCCGCCCGCUUGUUCGCCUGAGCCGCAAUCAGAAAAGUAUGCACGCCAUCAAUGAACUGGGGAGAGCAUCGGUCAUCGUACAUCCAUUACCGGCGCAUCUUCAUUACACACCACCGAAUAGACCAAAUUAAUACAAGUUCAUACAUAAAGUUCAUACAUAAAGUUCAUAUACAACACUUAAAUGCAAUAUACAAAUAACUCUCUAGCUAAAGAACUUAAAUGCAACAACAAAUGCGAUCAAGAUCACAACGAAGGUAACAAUUGAUCCAACAGCAUAAUGAUACCAAGCCACACUAUCAAUGGUAUAUUUUCUAAUUUUUCUAAUCUUCAACCACAUUUUCUCCAUCUUGAUCUUGUGAUCAUCGACGACAUCGGCAACAUGCAACUCCAAUUCCAUCUUCUCCCCCUCAAUUAUUUUCAAUUUUUCUUUCAAAUACUCAUUUUCUCUUUCAACUAAAUUUAACCUCUCGACAAUAGGGUCGGUUGGAAUUUCCAGUUCACAUACCUCCUAGAUAAAAAUAUCUAUGUCAACUUGAUGGGCACAAUUUGUCAUAAACACGAAAUGCAACAAAUAGUUUUAAAAGAGAAUAUACCACAUUCGAAUCAUAACACGGACGAGGGCCGACGGGGACGGAUAUCAAAACCAUGGCACUAUGUAUAACAAACAACGUACGUGUAAGAUAAUUAUACAAGUAACUAUAUAUCUAAAUCACACAAACAUGAUUUUUUUUAUAUAAAAAGAUAAGAACAAGAGGCUCGCCACAAGGUGGUGCCGGCGAUGGGUCGGUGCGGACGAUCGACGAUGGUUACGACAGAGACGGGAAGGCACUAAGUAAACCACACCUACAUAUGCAAACUAAGAGUUAUUUUAAGCUCAAAUUGCAUAUAAAUCAAAUAUACUACCACAUAUAAUUCCUCCCAAAUUACUAAAACCCACAAAUUAAUCACUAUAUAAAGCAUUGCAAGAGCUAAUCUAGCAAUGAGAGAUGAAAGGACAAAGUUGCUAACCUUUGUGAUCACUUGAAUGGAUGGGGGCCUUCAAAUCUUGACAAAAUUUGGGCAAAAUGUGUGAUGAGCUCGAGGGGAGAAGAGGAAGAACAGAGAGCAGGAGAGGGGAAAGGGGGAAAAUAGAGCAAGCUGGACGAAGGGUUUAUAUGCAGGACGACCUAUAGUACCGGUUCGUGGUAAGAACCGGUACUAAAGGUGCUGGACGGGCCCCAGUCUGACAACAUCCUGCCACCAUGACCUUUAGUACCGGUUCGUGGCACGAACCGGUGCUAAAGGUUCGCCACGAACCAGUACUAAAGGGAGCGGCCCGCCUAGCCGUUGGAACCGGCACUAAUGGUCACAUUAGUGCCGACUCAAUUUCAAACCAGGACUAAUGAGCUGCACAUUAGACCCUUUUUCUACUAGUGUUAUGUUCUCUUAUUUUCUUUAUUGUUUUGUAUUAAUAUAAGAAACUCAUUGACUUUAAUUAAAUAUGGUAUUUGGCACACAAAUUCUAGGCAUUAUUUUGAUAAUGCCCACAAAGUUUGGAGGCGAUUGGAGUUAAUUAAGUAAUUAUUUAUUUUGAAAAGGCCAUUUUAUUUGUUGUUGGACCAUUUGUUAAUUCACUAGGAAUUUAUGUGUGAGUCAAAUUAAGUUGGUUUCAACAUGACAAUGAUCAGGGGGAUUUAUUGAAUUAUUCCAAUAUUUUAGUUUGGCCGUUCGGAGAAAUAAUAAUUUUGCUUGCCAUUUAAAUUUGAAUUUGACUUGAGUUUUAAUCAAGUGGCAAUUGGCUUAGCGAAAGGGUGAUGACAUGGCAUCACUAGGGCAAGGUUACUGUAGCAUGACACUGGGGGUGUUACACUAUCUCCGCAGGGCUUCGCCUAAGCACUAUGAAAAUAUGACCGAGGGUGUAAACGGUGUAGGGGGCGCCGCACACGGCUAAGACAAUGUUGUGUCCAUGUGUGGCGCCCCCCUCCCACAUAUAUAUAGGUGGGUGGACAGGGGAGCAGCCAGGGGGCGCCCCAAGUAGGUCAGAAUCGUACUUGGGCUCCUGCCCUAGGCCGCCCCCACUUCCUUCUUUUCGCGCCAAGGGGAAGGAAAGAGGAGGUGGUGCCCCCCUCCCCCCCCUUUCCUUGUCAGCACCUUUAGGAUCGCUAGAGCUUGCAUAAUUUGUCAGCACCUUUAGGAUCGACAAAACCUUCUGGUUGCAUCAUAUACAACUCUUCUUUAAGAAAUCCAUUUCAUUUGCCAGAUUUCAUAAUCAUAAAAUGCGACAAUUGCUAACAUGAUUCAGACAGACUUAAGCAUCGCUAUGGGUGAGAAAGUCUCAUCGUAGUCAACUCCUUGAACUUGUCGAAAACCUUUCGCAACAAGUCGAGCUUUGUAGACAGUAACAUUACCAUCAACAUCAGUCUUCUUCUUGAAGAUCCAAUAUUUUCUAUGGCUUGCCGAUCAUCGGCAAGUCCACCAAAGUCCAUACUUUGUUCCCAUACAUGGAUCCUCUCUCAGAUUUCAUGGCCUCAAGCCAUCUGUCAGAAUCUGGGCUCAUCAUAGCUUAUUUGUAGUUUGUAGGUUUGCCUUGGUCUAAUAACAUGACUUACAAAAUAGGAUUAACGUACCACUCUGGUGCGGGUCAUGCUCUGGUCGACCUACGAAGUUCAGUAGUAACUUGAUCUGAAGUUUCUAGAUCAUUGUCAUUUGCUUCCUCUCCAGUUGGUGUAGUCAUCAUAGGAACGGUUUUCUGUAAUGUGCUACUUUCCAAUUCGAAAGAAGGUACAAUUACCUCAUCAAGUUCUACUUUCCUCCCACUCACUUCUUUUAAGAGAAACUCCUUCUCUAGAAAGGACUCAUUCUUAGCAACAAAUAUCUUGCCUUCGGAUCUAUGGUAGAAGGUGUACCCAAUAGUUUCUUUAGGGUAUCCUACGAAGACGCACUUCAACGAUUUAGGCUCGAGAUUAUUAGGUUGAAGCCUUUUGACAUAAGUGUUGCAUCUCCAAACUUUAAUAAAUGACAGCUUAGGUUGCCAAACCAUGGUUCAUAUGGUGUCCUCUCAACGGAUUUAGAUGGUGCCCUAUUCAACGUGAAUGCGGUUGUCUCUAAUGCAUAACACCAAAACGAUAGUGGUAAAUCAGUAAGAGACAUCAUAGAAUGCACCAUAUCUAAUAAUGUAUGAUUACGACGUUCGGACACACCAUUUCCCUAUCGUGUUCCAAGUGGCAUGAAUUGUGAAACAAUUCCACAUUGUUUUAAAUGAAUGCCAAACUCAUAACUCAAAUAUUUGCCUCCGUGAUCAGAUCAUAGAAACUUUAUUUUCUUUUUACGAUGAUUCUCCACUUCACUCUGAAAUUCUUUGGACUUUUCAAAUGUUUCAGACUUGUGUUUCAUCAAGUAGAUAUACCCAUACCUACUCAAAUCAUCUGUCAAGGUCAGAAAAUAACGAUACCCACCGCGUGCUUCAAUACUCAUCGGACCGCAUAUAUCGGUAUGUUUUAUUUUCAAUAAGUCAUUAGCUCGCUCCUUGUUCCGUAGAACGGAGUAUUAGUCAUCUUGCCCAUGAGGCAUGGUUCGCAAGUAUCAAAUGAUUCAUAAUCAAGUGAUUCCAAAAGUCCAUCUGCAUGGAGUUUCUUCAUGCGCUUUACUCCAAUAUGACCUAAACGGCAAUGCCACAAGUAUGUUGCACUAUCAUUAUCAACUUUGCAUCUUUUGGCAUCAAUAUUAUGAAUAUGUGUAUCACUACGAUCGAGUUUCAAAAAUAAUAGACCAUUCAUCAAGGGUGCAUGACCAUAAAAGAUAUUAUUCGUAUAAAUAGAACAACCAUUAUUCUCUGACUUAAACGAAUAACCGUCUCACAAUAAACAAGAUCCAAAUAUAAUGUUCAUGCUCAACGUUGGCACCAAAUAAUAAUUAUUGAGGUCUAAAACUAAUCCCGAAGGUAGAUGUAGAGGUAGCGUGUCGAAGGCGAUCACAUCGACCUUGGAACCAUUCUCGACGUGAAUCGUCACCUUGUCCUUAGCCAAUAUUUGAUUAUUUUUCAGCUCCUGUUUCGAGUUACGAAUAUGAGCAACCGAACCAGGAUCAAAUACCCAAGCGCUCCUUCGAGAAUUAGUAAGGUACACAUCAAGAACAUGUAUAUCAAAUAUACCUUUGUUCACUUUGCCAUCCUUCUUAUCCUCCAAGUAUUUGGGGCAGUUCCACUUCAAGUGACCAUUCCCUUUGCAAUAGAAGCACUCAGUUUCAGGCUUGGGUCCAGCUUUGGUCUUCUUCCCGGGAGUGGCAACUUGCUCGCCAUUCUACUUGAAGUUCCCUUUCUUUCCCUUGCCCUUUUUCUUGAAGCUAGUGGUCUUGUUAACCAUCAACACUUGAUGCUCCUUUUGAUGCGAAGAGCUCAAGAAUCGUUUUGUUCAUCCCUUGCAUAUUAUAGUUCAUCACGAAGCCUUUGCAGCUUGGUGGCAGUGAUUGAAGAACUCUGUCAAUAACACUGUCGACUGGAAGAUCAACUCCCAGCUGAGUCAAGUGAUUAUGAUACCCACACAUUUUGAGUAUGUGUUCACUGACAGAACUGUUCUCCUCCAUCUUGCAGCUAUAGAACUUGUUGGAGACUUCAUAUCUCUCAACUGGGCAUUUGGUUGAAAUAUUAACUUCAACUCUUGGAACAUCUCAUAUGCUCAUGACGUUCAAAACGUCUUUGAAGUCCCAGUUCUAAGCCGUAAAGCAUGGCACACUAAACUAUAGAGUAGUCAUCACAUCGAGCCUGCCAGGCGUUCAUAACAUCUGCAUUAGCUCCUGCAGCAGGUCUGUCACCUAGCGGUGCAUCAAGGACAUAACUCUUUUGUGCAGCAAUGAGGAUAAUCCUUUACGGAACCAGUCCGUGUAGUUGCUACCAUCAUCUUUCAACUUAGUUUCUCUGGGAACGCAUUAAAAUUCAGGGGAACGGUAGCUCGGGCCAUUGAUCUACAACAUAGACAUGCAAAACUAUAAGGCUAAGUUCAUGAUAAAUUAAGUUCAAUUAAUCAAAUUACUAAUGAACUCCCACUUAAAUAAACAUCCCUCAAGUUAUCUAAGUGAUACAUGAUCCAAAUCAACUAACCCAUGACCAAUCAUCACGUGAGAUGGGGUAGUCAUGAAUGGUGAACAUAUCUAUGUUGAUCAUAUCUACUAUAUGACUCAUGUUCGACCUUUUGGUCUCCAGUGUUCCGAGACCAUGUCUGGACAUGCUAGGCUCGUCAAGUUUAACCCAAGUAUUCUGCAUGUGCAAAACUGUAUUACACCCGUUGUAUCUGAAUGUAGAGUCUAUCACACCCGAUCAUCACGAGGUGCUUCGAAACAACGAACUUUGGCAAUGGUGCAUACUCGGGGGAGAACACUUUUAUCUUGAAAUUUAGUAAGGGGUCAUCUUAUAAUGCUACCGCCGUUCUAAGAAAAAUAAGAUGCAUAAAGGAUAAACAUCACAUGCAACCAAAAUUUGUGACAUGAUAUGGACAUCAUCAUCUUGUGCUUUUGAUCUCCAUCGUUACCGGCUCAACACCUUGAUCUCCAUCGUUGCGUCGGGGUCGUCUCGCCAACUAUUGCUAACACAUAGCGAUAAAGUAAAGCAAUUACAUGGCAUUUGCACUUCAUACAAUAAAGAGACAAACCUAAGGAUCUUGUCAGAUGUUGAUAUUACAAAACAUGAUCAUCUCAUACAUCAACAUAUAUCACAUCAUGUCUUGACCAUAUCACAUCAUAACAUGCCCUGCAAAAACAAGUUGGACGUCCUCUACUUUGUUGUUGCAAGUUUUACGUGGCUGCUUUACCUAUGAAAAAACCACAACGGUGAUUCAUCAUGUUUGCUGUUUCGACCUUCUUCAAGGACCAGCCGUAGUCAAAUUCGAUUCAACUAAAGUAGGAGAAACAGACAUCCACCAGCCACCUUUAUGCAAAACUAGUUGCAUGUCAGUCGGUGGAACCGGUCCCAUGUGCGUGGACAUGUAAGGUUGGUCUGUGUUGCUUCGUCCCACAAUACCGCCAAAUCAAAAUAAGAAGUUGGUGGUAGGAAGUCUGAUUAUCAUCACCCACAACUCUUUGUGUUCUACUCGUGCAUAUCAUCUACGCAUAGAGCUGGCUCGGAUGCUACUAAUGGGGAACAUUGCAUGGAAACAAAUAUAUAUAUACGCACACGCAAGAUCUAUCCAUCGAGAUGCAUAGCAACGAGAUGGGAGAGUGUGUAUAUGUACCCUCGUAGACCGUAAGCGGAAGCAUUUAGUAACGCGAGUGAUGUAGUUGAACUUCUUCGUGAUCCAACCGAUCGAGUACCGAACGUACGGCACCUCCGCGUUCAGCACACGUUCAUCUCGGUGACGUCCUCGCCUUCUUGAUCCAGCAAGACGUCGAGGUAGUGGAUGAGUUCCGGCAGCACGACGGCAUGGUGAUGGUGAUGGUGAUGCUAUCUCCGCACGGCUUCACCUAAGCACUACAAAAAUAUGACCGAGGGUGUAAAUGGUGGAGGGGGUGCCACACACGGCUAAGACAAUGUGGUGUCCGUGUGUGGCACCCCCCCCCCCUCCCACAUAUAUAUAGGUGGGGGAGAGGUGAGCAGCCAGUGGGCGCCCCGAGUAGGUCUGAAUCCUACUUGGAAUCCUGCCCUAGGCCGCCCCCCUUCCUUCUUUUGGCGCCAAGGGGGAGGAAGGAGGAGGUGGUGCCCCCCUUUCCUUUCUCCCACAAGGAGGGGAAGACAGGAGGAGGUGGCGCCCCCUCCUUUCCUUCUUCUAGGGACGGUAGCCAAGGAGAGGGCACGCCAGCCCCCUUAUGGGCUGGUGUGUGCCUCUCCUUGGACCAUUAGGCCCAUAGACCUCUCGGGGCCUCCCAGAACCUCUUUCGGUGAUCCGAUGACUAUCCGGUACCCUCGAAACUCUUCUGGUGUCCAAAUAUCAUCGUCCUAUAUAUCAAUCUUUACCUUCGGACCAUUCUAGAGCUCCUCAUCGUGUCCGUGAUCUCAUCCGGGACUCCGAACAACAUUCGGUCACCAAAUCAUAUAACUCAUAUAACACUAUAUCGUCAACAAACGUUAAGCGUGCGGACCCUAUGGGUUCGAGAACUAUGUAGAGAUGACCGAGACACCUCCCCGGUCAAUAACCGAUAGUGGAACAUGGAUGCCCAUAUUGGCUCCUACAUAUUCUAUGAAGAUCUUUACUGGUCGAACCUUAUGACAACAUACGUAAUUCCCUUUGUCCAUCGGUAUGUUACUUGCCCGAAAUUCGAUCAUCGGUAUCUUCAUACCUAGUUCAAUCUUGUUACCAACAAGUCUAUUUACUCGUUCCAUAACACAUCGUAUUGCAACUAACUCCUUAGUCACUUUGCUUGCAAGGCUUCUUAUGUUGUGUAUUACCGAGAGGGCCCAGAGAUACAUCUCUGAUACUCUGAGUGACAAAUCCUAAUCUCGAUCUAUGCCAACUCAACAAACACCUUCGGAGACACCUAUAGAGCAUAUUUAUGAUCACCCAGUUACGUUGUGAUGUUUGAUAGCACACAAGGUAUUCCUCUGGUAUCCGGGAGUUGCAUAAUCUCAUAGUCGAAGGAAUAUGUAUUUCUCAUCAAGAAAGCAAUAGCAAUAAACUGAACGGUCAACAUGCUAAGCUAAUGGAUGGGUCUUGUCCAUCACAUCAUUCUCCUAAUGAUGUGAUCCCGUUAUCAAAUGACAACACAUGGCUAUGGUUAGGAAACCUUAACCAACUUUUAUCAACGAGCUAGUCUAGUAGAGGCUUACUAGGGACACGGUAUUUGUUUACGCAUUCACACAUGUAUUUAAUUUUCCGAUCAAUACAAUUCUAGCAUGAAUAAUAGCCUUUAUCAUGAAUAAGGAAAUAUAAAAUAAAAACUUUAUUAUUGCCUCUAGGGCAUAUUUUCUUCAAUAUGGGGUUGCCUGAGCGUGCCUAAGCGCAUCCGACACGUUAGCCCGGCCCACCCUGACCCCACUCUGUCCCCAUAAAUAUCCCCAAUCAGGAAACCCCAGCUCACUCCACACUCGAUCCGUCUCUUCUCCCCUCUGAUUUCUCCAAUUCGAUCCACUCCGAUGACUCCGGUGACUGCCAUGACCAUAUCAAGCGCCGACAGCCGCUCCUCCUCCGACUACGACGAGGAGCUAGUCCUCUGCAUUGCCGUUGAGAGGUCCAAGAUAGGCACAGGUGGCAGUUUCGGAUCGGCUGCCUUGCUCCAUCGCCGCCGUAGGGAGGACCUCAUCGCUGGCUCAUCCCGUCCUGCGCUUGGCUUCACAUGGGAUACACAGUUCGUGCCUCCCCCACAUCGUCCCCUGCCCUCGCCGGCUGAUGCUCCCCCACGCGGGCAAUGGUGGUUGCUUGUACCCGCCCAGCCGACUCGGGCACGCAUGCCAGAGUCAGAGGCGCGCGCCGCCCGCCGCGAGAGACAACAGGCAAGGGAGAGGGACGCGACGGAGAGCUUUGUCCGCCGCCGCCGCGGGUUGCUGGCGGAGCCCGACGAGGAUAAGCGGCUCCUCGGGUGGGUCUACUGUCGGUUGCUUACCAUGGCGGAGACGGACGCUUGGCAGCUCCGGUGGAAGAACGUGAAGGCUCUCCGGCUUGCCAUCGAGCAGUCCAAGUGCGAGGCCAAGGAGAAGGCGAUGGAGACGGCUCGGCUGGCGAAGCUCAAGCGCCAGCAGGACCGGGCCACCCGGUGCCUCAAGGGCCUCAUCAUUGUCUCCUCCUCAUCCUUCAAUGACGACCACGACUCCUCGUCCGACGAAUUGGACGAUCCUCCAUCAUUCGUCGACGGCUACAGCUGCGCCGACUACCGGAAGGGGAAAGGGUCGGGCCGGAAGUGGUGAAGAUCUGCUUUCUUCAAUUUAAUUUCAAGUAUUAUAUGUAAUAUGAAGUUGUCCGACGUUUAUGUGAACUUUGGUGGUCCUUUGAACAUCCGGUCAUGAUCUUUUGGUGAACAUAUUGUGCUUGCCUAUGUUUGUUUGUUGAUCUACGUAGUUUGAUCAACGUUGCAUGGUUUAGUAUGGAUAUAGGGGAUCAGAUAUGAGAUACAUGGAUGUGAACAACGCGGUUUGAGGAGUGCCUGGUCAGUGCCUGCGGCGCGUCCGGGCGCGUCCACGGACAUUUGAGGGCCCGGAUUUGCCUAGUCCAGAUGUAGAUGCUCUUAUACCACAAACAGCGGCCUAAGUAGGAAUAUGGACAUCAUUUGCUUCAUUUUGAGCCUUCUUAAGGCAAUUUGUAUUCUUAAUUGUCUAAGCUUCAAUCGUUUUCGCUAUAUAAGUUAGAACUUUGUCGUCUAUAUAAUUGUUGUAAUUGUAUGAGUUGUUGUCUAUGUAAUUAUUGUAAUUGUGGAUUAUUUCAUUAUUUGUGUUGUGAUACCAACUGUUAAACAUGAAAGGCAUAUUUCGACGUGUUUGUUAUGUGAAGCUUUGGUGUCCUUGGGAUCAAUUUCUAUGUGGAGGCUAGUGAAACAUGGCUAAAUCUGCAUAGUGCCGAUCGUGGGGUGUGAUGGUGACACAACCCGUCCUUCAUAAUGAGAAUCCCCUUGUGCACUCGUAGCUCACGUAGGCACCCUUUGCUGCAUAAGUUAGCCGCAACCAUGCAUGGGAGUAAUAAAUGACUUCCACUCACCGUAGUCCUAGAAAUAUUAGAAUUUUUUGAUAUUUUUACUAUUUGUAUAUUGUGUUGUUCAUUCGGAUGCAUGUGUAUCUAGGAUUAGAAACUCCAUGUCCCUACUUUAGUUUCGGAACAUUAGACCUUUGUCGGUCAACGAGGUCUACAACAUAGCAUAACCAGUGAAAAAAAUAGCGCGCUAUAGCAUCGCUAAUAGCAGCUAGAGCAUUCCGAGCAAUACCUCGCUAAAUAAAUCAAUGUACAAUCUCCCGCUAAUAGCAUGAUAUAGCAUGCUAAUAGCAUAUUUUAAGGUCCACGCUAUUUUGUCAUAGCACGCUACUUUUUCCAUUGAGCAUAACAGGCCUUCUUCCCGUCAUCAUGUGCGCACAUGUGAUUUCGCUUUGUUCUAUUAAGGGCAACUUCGAUGUGGAUCACCAAAUCGGCCGCAAAUGUUAGGAUCAUACUGGACGGCCCGAACACCUUGGGUCAUCCAAACAGAGCAAUCAAAUACUCGCUGACUGGUUUGGAAGUUUGAAAUACCCUAAAUUAAAACCAAACUCAAGAUAGGUUUGGGGGGGCAGACCUCCUAUUCCCCGUGUUGCGCGCGCACCCCACUUUUGUCCUUUCGACCUCUCCAACUGCAGAGCGGGCGCCCGUUUUUUCUUUCUUAUUCUCGUUUAUUUUUGUUGUUGCUUUUUUAACAAAAAAAUGUUGAAGAAUCAUAGAUUUGAAAAAAAUCAUUUGGAAUCUCAAUUGGUUUCAAAAGUUCAAAAAAUGUAUGCGAUUACAAAAAAUUACUUGCCAAUAAUUUUUUUGUGACUUCAAUUUUUUCAUUAUUUUGAAAAAUAUUCUUGAAUUCAAAAAGUGUUUAUGAAUUCCAAAUAUGUUCCUGAAUUCCUAAAAAUCAUGAAGUAAUAAAAUAUAUUCUUCAAUUUAAAAAAAUGUUCGAGAAUUCGACACACCUUUGCUUUGAAAUAAUUAUAAUGUUUUCAAAAAUUGGCAAUUUGGAAAAUGUGUGUGAAAUACAAAAAGUUCAUGACUUCAAAAAUAUUCAUAAAUUAAAAAAUGCACAAGAAGUUUUAGAAAAGCUCUUGAAUUUUGGAAAAAUGUUCAUGUAUUUAAAAAUAAAUGAAGAAUUGAAAGUUGUUAGCGAAUUAGAAAAUACAAGCAUGAUUUUCGUAAAAGUUAAUGAAUUUGGAAAAUAUUGACAGAUUUGGAGAAACUUCAUGAGUUUUUAGAAAGUUCAUGAAUUUGAAAAAAGAAAAAAGAAAAAAAAGAAAAAAAAAAGGGGGAAAUGUUUCAGGGAAGAUUCUAGAAACUUCCCAAACUUUGUGGUGAAAACCCAUAAUUGGCUGGCCCAUACAGAUGACGAGAUGGGGAGGGCUCCGACCUAGGGGGGAUAGGAUAGUCCGGACACCCGCUUGGUCCACUAUUAGUUUUUUUUUAGAAUAUGGUCCACUAUUAGUUAUAGCCCAUUGUCCAGACACCCGCUGGUAUUCCGUCUACUAUACGCAGACGUCCUCUAGUUGAUCACCAUGCACUUCCUAUUUGGUGUUUCAAGUGCCCGUUACUAGUGUUUUUGCAAAUGGGCCUCUACGCCACGCGUUGGCCGCCCAUGUAAUGUUUUAUUUUUCUAUGAUUUAAUAUGCAAAAAAGCACGAUGUAUUAGAAUCAAGCCAGCGAUCUCCUUAUAGAAGAUUGGCUGGUGUAACCACCCCGCCAACCCGCGCGGAUGUGCUAGUAUUUUCCUUUUUUCGUUUAUUCAUUCUUUUUUAUUUUUUCUAUUUUAUUUUUUUCCUUUUUCGAUUUCUAUUUGUUCUUCACCUAUGAACUGUUUUCAAAUACAUGAAACUUUUUUUAAAAUUGAUGAACCUUUUUUGAAAUUUUAUGAACUUUUUUCAAAAUCAAUGAACAUUUUCCAAUAUCGCUGAACUUUUUUCAAAUUGGAUGAAUUUUUUUCAGUUUCAAUGAACUUUUUUCAAAAUCAAUGAACAUUUUUUUUAAAAGCAUUGAACUUUUUCAAAAUCAAUGAAUUUUUUUCAAAAGCAUUGAACUUUUUUUAAGUUGAUCAACUUUUUCAAAUUUUGGUGAACUUUUUUCCAAAUUCAAUGAACUUUUCAGAAUUGAUGAACCUUUUUCAAAUUUGUGAUUUUUUUUACAUUUGUGAACUUUUUUUCAAAAUCCAUGAACAUUUUUCAAUUCAUGUUUUUCCCUUUUUUCCCUUUUCCAGUUUUUUCGCGACUAGUCAAAAUGUGCCCGAGCGAGGAAAACCAGUCAAACCCAUCGAACCUCGCACUCUGCAUGGGGCUCCCCAGGAGGAGGGGCGCGUGAGCGCCGGUUCCCAAGUGGUGCUAAAGGUGCCACAUAGGAGUUCCCUGAUCACCAUGAUUCUCAAAAAAACAUGCUGGCCCAAGCCCAGGUGGAGCCUGGACAGAAAAGGUUUUUUUUAGAGUACCGAAAAGGUUUGUUGCAAAAAGAAUUGAUUUGUUGUAGUAGGUGUUUUAAUAAAGGGAAUACGUAGAACUUAUCUAGAUGAGAUAUAAUUUGGUCUCAUUCGUUUUGAAAACAAGAACAAAUACAACUCAUGUCAGCACACACGCAUCUUAUAGCCUCACAUUCAUUGACUAUAAAAGAUGAAUGAGACCAAACUAUAUGUCAUCUAGAUGAGUUCUAGCAAAACUGUUUAAUAAAAACAAAGGACGCCGAUAACGCCCACACGUGUGGGCGUUAAGGGGUCUGCGCACACAUUUUGUGUGGUGUUUAAGAGGAUUAGCCCACACGCCUACGUGUGGGCAAAACAACUAGCGCCCACACGCCUUUUUUUUUGCGGUCCCUCUCUCUCACGCCUACGUGUGGGCAAAAUGCAUAACGCCCACACUGUUGAGGAUCGUAGCAGAAAUUUAAAAUUUUUUAUGCAUCACCAAGAUCAAUCUAUGGAGUCAUCUAGCAACGAGAGAGAGAGGAGUGCAUCUACAUACCCUUGUAGAUCGCGAGCGAAAGCGUUCAAGAAAACGGGAUUGAUGGAGUCGUACUCGUCGUGAUCCAAAUCACCGAUGAUCCUAGCGCCGAACGGACGGCACCUCCGCGUUCAACACGUACGGAGCGGAGACGUCUUCCGCGCCUUGAUCCAGCAAGGAGGAGGGAGAGGUUGAGGAAGAGAGCUCCAGCAGCAGCACGACGGCGUGGUGGUGAUGGAGUGGCAGUACUCCGGCAGGGCUUCGCCAAGCUUUUAACGGAGGAGGAGAGGUGUUGGGGAGGGGAGGGGCUGCGCCUUGGAUCUGGUGCUGCAGCCCUCCCCUCUCCCCUCCAUUUAUAGGAGGAGGAGGAAGGGGGCCGGGCCCCUCUAGAUGAGAUCUAGAGGGGGGCGGCGGCCAAGGGGAGGGGGCUUGCCCCCCAAGCAAAGGGGGGCGCCCCCUUUAGGGUUCUCCACCCUCCCCCCAACCCUAGGCGCAUGGGCCCAAGGGGGGAUGCGCCCAGCCCUUCAAGGGCUGGUUCCCUUCCCACUACGGCCCAUGAGGCCCUCCGAGAGAGGUGGCCCCUCCCGGUGGACCCCCGGAACCCCUCCGGUGGCCCCGAUACAAUACCGGUAUGCCCCCAAACUUUUUCGGUGACCGUAUGACAACUUCCCAUAUAUAAAUAUUCACCUCUGAACCAUUACGGAACUCCUCGUGACGUCAGGGAUCUCAUCCGGGACUCUGAACAACAUUUAGUAAUCACUUACAAGUCUUCCUAAUAACCCUAGCGUCAUCGAACAUUAAGUGUGUAGACCCUACGGGUUUGGGAGGCAUGUAGACAUGACCGAGACAGCUCUCCGGCCAAUAACCAACAGCGGGAUCUGGAUACCCAUGUUGACUCCCACAUGUUCCACGAUGAUCUCAUCGGAUGAACCACGAUGUCAAGGAUUCAAGCAAUCCCAUAAACAAUUCCCUUUAUCAAUCGGUACGUUACUUGCCCGAGAUUCGAUCGUCGGUAUCCCAAUACCUCGUUCAAUCUCGUUACAGGCAAGUCACUUUACUCGUUACAUAAUGCAUGAUCCCGUGACUAACCACUUAGUCACAUUGGGCUCAUUAUGAUGAUGCAUUACCGAGUGGGCCCAGAGAUACCUCUUCGUCAUACGGAGUGACAAAUCCCAGUCUCGAUUCGUGCCAACCCAACAGACACUUUCGGAGAUACCUGUAGUGCACCUUUAUAGUCACACAGUUACGUUGUGACGUUUGGUACACCCAAAGCACUCCUACGGUAUCCGGGAGUUACACAAUCUCAUGGUCUAAGGAACCGAUACUUGACAUUAGAAAAGCUUUAGCAAACGAACUACACGAUCUUGUGUUGUGCUUAGGAUUGGGUCUUGUCCAUCACAUCAUUCUCCUAAUGAUGUGAUCCCGUUAUCAAUGACAUCCAAUGUCCAUAGUCAGGAAAUCAUGACCAUCUGCUGAUCAACGAGCUAGUCAACUAGAGGCUCACUAGGGACAUGUUAUGGUCUAUGUAUUCACACAUGUAUUACGGUUUCCGAUCAAUACAAUUAUAGCAUGAACAAUAGACAACUAUCAUGAACAAGGAAAUAUAAUAAUAACCAUUUUAUUAUUGCCUCUAGGGCAUAUUUCCAACACACACGACCUCUUUCAACCACCUACCCCCAUGGUCCUGCACGCCCCGCAUGGCAGUCAUCACACGUUCCCGCAGUUGCCAUGGUCCGGACCCUCUUCAAUGUCCGUUUAACUAUAGUUGACAUGUCGCUUAACUACAGUUGCCAUGCCGGACAACUACAGUUGCCAUGGUUGCUCAAAUGUAGUUGCCAUCUCAGGUCAAGUGUCGGAUGUCAUUUUGAACAACUGCAGUUGUUGCCAUGUAUGGUCUGGUUUACUAUAGUUGCCAUGAUUUGAAAACUUUAGAGGUGGCCACCUUCUAACACUAAGUAGUUUCCAUGUAUGGUAUGGUUUACUACAGUUGUCGUGAUUUGAAAAUUUUAGGAGUUGCCACCUACUAACACUAGGCAGUUUUCGUGUAGCUCUACAAGAGACAUGGCAAAACAACAUGUUCGGGUAAAAGAGAGAGUUGACAUCUGCUUACAAGCACACUAGGGCAGUUGCCAUGUACCCUGCAAAACACAUGGCAACUGACAUGUUCGGAGUAAAAAAAAGUUGUCAUCUGCUCACAAGCACGCUAGGGCAAUUGCCAUGUACCCUGCAAAACACAUGGCAACUGACAUGUUCGGGGUAAAAAAAGAAAGUUGUCAUCUGCUUACAAUAAUGCUAGGGCAGUUGCCAUGUACACUGCAAAACGCAUGGCAACUGGCAGCUUGGAUGUGGAGAGAGGAGACGGACGUGUAGGCGAGAUGGCAAAUGCCCACACACCAGCCCUUGUGCGUGAGUGAAAACUGACGUGUGGGCGAACUGCUAAACGCCCACACACACCGGCCCCUCCCGUGUGGUGAAACAAACGUGUGGACGACCGGAUGAAUGCCCACACACCAGUCCAGUUCUACGUGGCACCACAAACAUGUCAAAACUCAUGCACCCGCAUAUGAACGCAGAUUCACGCGUGUGGGCGAGAUGCAAACGCCCACACGUGUGGGCGUUAGUGUUUCCAAAAACAAAAAGGUUCGUUUUACAGCAGUAGUCAAUACCGAGUGGGUCUCGACUUGGGUUUCGCCUCUGGCUUUAUAGAUCGAGAGACGACACCCCCGCCGCCGGUAUGUUACCACAGCCCCAACAUCCAUCGCACGACCACAAUCGAUCGUCAGCAAAGAGGGAUCCACCAGGCGCGGGAAGGCAGGGGCGACGCGCAACCGACCCACGGCCCGGACGGGAGGGUGAUUUUUCGCUUCGGCGGGUUCACCACUACCAAACAUAUGUCGGCGGCCACCGGCGAGGAGGUUCCACCGAAGGGCAAAAGGAAGCUGGCGGCGUUCGAGGAGAAGCCGCGCUGGCAUUGGGCGGAUCCACUCCCGAAGCCCGGUACCACGACUGAAGACGCAGAGCUGCGGAAGAGGAUCAAGGCGGCGCUGUUGGGCUUCCCGGAGUCUGGCGCGUUGAGCGCGGAGCAGAUGGAGCUAGCGAUUGACAGGAUCAUCAAGGAGUCCAAGCCCGAGACCAAGUCUGUGGCGGCCCCAGGCAUGGUUCGGUUACGGAAUGAACAGAUCCGUCUCUGGUUGAUGUUGAAGAACCCCACCGGCGACGAUAUCCUCGGCGUUGAAGCUGGUGGGGUGUUCCCGCCAGGUUGGAUCCAGCAGAGAGCUCUCAUGCUAGACGCGCGAUGCCAGCGCAAGACGAAGGACGACGAACUAAUCUUGGUGGACAAGAUCCGCAUCGAUGUGAUCACGAAGGGCUACGCUGAGUUCCGGGAGGAGUACGUGAGCCCUGACUCGGACCCGGACGAGGAAUGCUACGUAUCUGAGGAGGAGGUGACUUCUGUCCUCCGGGAGGAGUAAUAAAUGAAAUAGAUGUUGUGCCGUUGUUCUGAGAAGAUUUGGCUCGAUGAAUCCAGCCAAGGGGGGCCGUUGUGUCAACCCUAUUUGUGUUUGACUAUCUAUAUCUAUCUAAAAAGUUAGUACUGCGGAUAUGGUCUUUGGAGGCCGAGCUCCAUGGAGCUCGGUUUUGAAAAUUUUGAAUAUUGUUAAAUUUCGUAUUUUUUUACAUUUCAAAAAAUUCUGAAAAAAAACACACAUAUACAUGAAGGCACAACACACAUGUAUGUAAAUUUUCAGGGCAAAAUAAGUUAAAAUAAGGGCUGUGCAAAAAAAACAAAUCUGAGGCUUUUUAACACAUGAUACUAUUCAUUCUUCCAGGUCAUGAAUUUGUCUUUUUUGUACAGGUCACAUUUCAACGUUUUUCAUUCUGAAAUUUUACACACAUAGACAUAACAUACUUGUUUACUUGCACGUUUUUUUCAGUUUUUUUAAACCAAAAGGUUUGAAUUUGAUUUGUUUUCAAAAAUAGGCCUACAUGGCUCCCGGGAGCCAAACGUCCGCUCUCGUUAGUGCUGCUACUGUCUAUCUAUGAAUCUAUAUCCAUGCUGCCUUUGUUUGCCGCUGAUCCAAACUAGUAUAUGUUUUUAACUUUUUAUUCGUUGUUACUUCAAAGGAACCAUUUGUUUAAGCUUAAUUCGUUUGCGCUAGUCUAAAAAAACUAGACAGAGAGGCCGCCAAGGUCUUUAAUCAUUAAUGCGUCAUAUAUGUCUGAUCGCUAUAAUAACUACUACUAUGACGAUCAAAAACAUGGAAAGGCACUUUAGCAGAGUUGUCAUACGCGGCGUGAUCAUCAUAUAUUAUGGAGCUCACACCAAAAAUGGCUUGUACUCUUCAAAUAGGUUGUGGAGGCUUCAUUUGGAGCUCGCUCCAAAGCAAACCGCAUACAUGAAAAUCCUCGCACCAUGACCGGGUCUUCAAGACUGAUGCCACAUCUACAUGCACCACUGCGUAUAGAUAACCAUAUACGAGGUGCCGAUGUGACUAUCAACCACCCCGCCAUUAAAUGGCACGCGCUCCUCAUAUUCUCGUGGUUUUCCAUCGGAUAGCCGCCCCGCCACAUCACUGUCGUCGAGCCUUCUGUCGCCCUGGCUAUAAAAGCUCGACGGCGAGGCGUGCCCAUUACCUUCUCCUCCCUUUGUCGUGACAAUACCAUCGCGAUGUUUCGGCGCGUACUAGCUAAACUUGCUCGUGGAUGCCAACGCGGACAUCACAGGAGGCGGUGCUCCAUGUGGCACACUAGUUGCACGAGCCAGAGCAUCAUCCUCCCAUCAUGGUUGGGCGGGUGGAGCCUCCCGUGGCGGUAGCCAUACGGGAUAUGGCGCCUCGGGUGUCAUCGUCCCCAUCACCGCAUCUCGUCGGAGUAGUCCCCAUGGCGGCUCCUGUCAACGGAGCCCCUGCCUUCGUGUCACGCCACUGGUAUGACCCCAACAUGGAAUCGGAGGAGGAGGAUGCCCCCCCUAGCCCUGAGCAUGAGCAUGUGCUCGAGCUCUCCGUCCUCAAAGCAACCCGCCCCGGGAGUCCCGCUCCACCACCACGGCUAUCCCUCGGGUGAGCCUGGGUCCCGAGGGUCUUUGACCUUCGGGUCCUCAAAGAGAGAGUUGUCUCUAGAUAGACGGGUCCCUGACGCCUGAGUCACGGGGUCUUUAAACCUGGGUCCCUAGAAUCUCCUGAGUGGCAAUGAUCACAUUGACUUUGUGGGUAUAAGUACCCACAUUCUUCUUCCUCCAACCCAAAUCCUUGACUUGAGCUUCUCCACCAUUGUCAAACUCUAAAAGCUCGAUUGCUCUUCAUCCCUCCACUCAAACUCCACCAAACUUUGAGAAUUGAAAAAUAAUCACCCGUUGUACACUUCCACUAAACCAAUUUGUGAUCCACAUACUUGUUCUUCACCAACACUUGUUACUCUUGGAGAUUUGGAACUCCUGGGCAAUAGGAGUGAAGGCCCGAAAGCCUCAUUGCAUGUGGUAUGCUCUCGGAAGUUAGGUUCAAUGGUCGCCUUCAAGACCAUCCAUGAGUGGUGAUGCUCAUCCAUUGGGGUGAGUCAAAGAGAGACUAUGUGAGACACUUGAUGGUGUUAUGAAACUUUAGCUUUGGCACCUGCAGAUUAACACUCGAGUACAAACUUUGAGAUACACCAGCAUCUAGGACUUGUGUGGUUUAUCUUACCGUACAUUUACUUGUGUCUGCUUCUAGUUAGCUUGUUCAAUGGAAGACUUAUUUUAUCCACGUUAUUCCUAUAUUUGGUAAUUAAGCUAAAAUUUGUCAUGUUCCAAGGGCUGAUUCAAGAGUUUCCAUAAGGGCCCCUACUUUUGUGAUAUUUCGAGAGCAAGUGCGACUGUAUCCCUUGAAUUCACUAUAAAACCCCAUCCCACAUCCAAGGGGCACAACACCUUUAGCCGCUACCGGGAGCGCGUCGAGGCAGAGCGUCGGCAAUUCAAGAGGUCAUCUAACCUCUCUUGACGUGGGCAAUGCCGGCAACGAGGCACAUGGCCAUCUCAUCGAAGGGCUCACCGAAUCGAAGUGGGAGAGGAUCAAGAAUUAGACCGACGGUAUUCUUAGUCCAAAUUUCGUUUAAUAGAUGUAAAUUUGCAUCAAAUUUGUGUUGGAACUUUUUUUAUCCAAAAGAUGGGUUAGAAAUGACAUUUUUAUCCUUUAAAUUUUAGGUGAUCGGUUAGAGAUGCACUAAAAAGCAAUGAAAACUAGGUGAGGUGUUUUGCAUUUUGCAUAGUGGCUUUGAACUAGACGAAACAUACCAAAAACCAAUUAAUCCAUCAACAAAUAAACACAUUUUGAGAAUUUACGGGUAUUUUAGACAUGCUCAGCUUACAGAUAGGCAAGUCAUCUUUCAGCUCAAGCACAUGUAAAACGAAAAUUACUCAAAAGCCAAAUCACGAAUGAUAGCAGCAACUUCAAUAGCCUAUGGUUCAGACAGUUAUAGGAAAAAGAAACUUCAGGUGUAAGUGGGGGUUUGAUAUAUGGGGAGCAAUCGGGUCAUAGAAAAGCUAAAAUUAGUUAUUACGACAUCCACUGAAUCCACUCCAACUCAACCUCUUAUUAAACAUUCCACAAUGCGGAGACUGCCGCUCCGCUAUGGGAGUUUGUUCUCCACUCUCAAAACUGCAAGGAAGAAGUAGAAAACUUGAAAGAAAUACAAUCUACACUGCCGCCUCUAUAUCUCAGCGCCAAGCUCCAACAUCAAGGUGUGGUUCGACGCAUCGCUUCCAGGGCCGCUGAACUGGAUGGGACCUGCCAUGACAAGAAAGAAUGACGAGUUAGUUUAUUUCUCUAGUACUCCCUCCGUCCUGAAAUACUUGUCGGAGAAAUGCAUAAAAAUGGAUGUAUCUAGAACUAAAAUUCGUCUAGGUACAUCCAUUCCUCCAACAAGUAUUUCCGGACGGAGGGAGUAGAUGUCAGUCGUUGCUGGCAAUUUUCCUACUACAUACCAGGGCUGAUGUAUCGGUUCUUGCUGGCCCAUUCAUCUCGCAGCGAGGCAAACUUCUUAAAUGGCGCAGCUGAAAAAUGGCAUUGCAAGAGAUCAGGUUUUCGUAGGAGUACAUAAACCUCUUAGCUGUUAGUAACAGACUUGAAAGGUCUUCAUACCAUCAAGUUCCACCAUAGCCUUCUUGAUCACUGGCUUGUUCUUGCCUGGUUGCCAAGAAUGAAAAGUUAGAAUUUGGCACUAAUAGUCCAAAGUAUGAUUAUUAAUAGUCCAAAAUAUGAUUAAAAUGGAUUUCAUUAUCAUAUUUACUAACAGUCAAAAGAAAUCGGCUGGUACAUAAUUGGGUCCAAAGAACAAGUACGUAUUUGGGUAACCUUCAGGUCAAAAGUAGAAAAAAUGCCUUGAAAACGAGGUAUUGUGGAAACUUACCAUGCCUUCUCUCAACAUCCAUCAACGCAGUCAGUGCAGUUCCUCCAACAGUCCAUUCUUCCACAGGAGCAGCCAG
rnacentral:lncRNA from 1 species